UCAGACAUCCUAAGAGAAGAUCAUCCAUCUUCUCUCCAACCACCCUUUUAUGCUCCCGUCGGAUUUAAGACCCUUGACUUGCCUUCGAUUUUCUACAUAUUUCUCAAUAACUCCUGUUUCCCAAAUGGCUUACAUCCGGCCGGAUCCUCCUAAUGGAGGAGGCAGAGCAUGGUUGGUUGUUGUAGGCUCAUUUCUCCUUCAAAUGUCAUCUUUUGGAUACCUUAAUACCUGCGGAACUUUCCAAUACUAUUAUCAGAGUGCCAUGCUCCCUAACAAAAAUACAUCACAGCUUGCUUGGAUCACAACUC
rnacentral:sRNA from 1 species